UACAGAGGGGGCAAGCGUUAUUCGGAAUUAUUGGGCGUAAAGCGCACGUAGGCGGCUUUGUAAGUUAGAGGUGAAAGCCCGGGGCUCAACCCCGGAAUUGCCUUUAAGACUGCAUCGCUAGAAUUGUGGAGAGGUAAGUGGAAUUCCGAGUGUAGAGGUGAAAUUCGUAGAUAUUCGGAAGAACACCAGUGGCGAAGGCGACUUACUGGACACAUAUUGACGCUGAGGUGCGAAAGCGUGGGGAGCAAACAGG
rnacentral:rRNA from 1 species